GGUCGGAUGGUCUAGUGGUAUGAUUCUCGCUUAGGGUAACACCCAAAGCUUAGCUUGCGAGAGGUCCCGUGUUCGAUCCACGGUUCGACCC